CUGGCGGCGCGCAUCAUACAUGCAAGUGAAACGAGAAAGUGGAGCAAUCCAUGAGUACAGUGGCGUACGGGUGACCCACACGUGGAUCAUCUACCUCUUGGUGGGGAAUAACCCUGGGAAACCGGGGCUAAUACCGCAUAAGCCUGCAAAGGGAAAGCAGCAAUGCGCCGAGAGAGGAGUCCGCGGCCGAUUAGCCUGUUGGUAGGGUAACGGCCUACCAAGGCAAUGAUCGGUAGCCGGCCUGAGAGGGCACACGGCCACACUGGCGCUGAAACACGGGCCAGACUCCUACGGGAGGCAGCAGUGGG
rnacentral:rRNA from 1 species